AUGCUAUACAACAUUUGUAACGAUCAAGAGAUCACAGUAGCAGAUUUUAAUGCAGGAGUUGAUGAAAAAUUCUUUAGGAGACGACUCCACCCGCCUCUAUUGGAACAGUGGAGGGAACUCGAGGCCAUUGUGGUCUCUUGGACACAGUCUGAUGAGUCUGACAUGGUGGCUUGGACCUUGGGGAAGAAAAAUAAAUUUAUGACCAAAUCGAUAUACAAAUAUCUGGAGAGAAAUGUGAUGGGGUGUAACUAUAAAUGGAUUUGGAGAUCCAAGAUACCCCUGAAAAUACAAAUCUUCCUUUGGAAGCUUUUUCAGGAUGCAUUCUUGACUAGAGAUGUUAUGAGUAGGAGGAAAUGGUUGGUUAACCCUACUUGCUCUUUUUGUGACAAAAAGAAAACCUCCCAGCAUCUCUUCUUUAUGUGUCCAGUAGCUAGAGUUAUAUGGAGGACUAUGGGUUGUGUCCUGGGCACGGAUCUAUGUCCGAACAAUAUUUGGUAA
rnacentral:rRNA from 1 species